rnacentral:rRNA from 1 species
GCUUGUCUCAAAGAUUAAGCCAUGCAUGUCUAAGUACAAGCCGCUAGUUCGGCGAAACCGCGAAUGGCUCAAUAAAUCAGUUAUGGUUCCUUAGAUCCACUCCAUCCUACUUGGAUAACUGUGGUAAUUCUAGAGCUAAUACAUGCAUGAACCCCCGACUUUUGAAGGGGUGUAUUUAUUAGAUUGAAACCAAUGCGGGUUCCCCGGUAUUUGGUGAUUCAUAAUAACUUUCGGAUCGACUUCGGUCGAUGCAUCAUUCAAGUUUCUGCCCUAUCAGCUUUGGAUGGUAGGGUAUUGGCCUACCAUGGCUUUAACGGGUAACGGAGAAUUAGGGUUCGAUUCCGGAGAGGGAGCCUGAGAAAUGGCUACCACAUCCAAGGAAGGCAGCAGG